GUGGUAUUUGGACAUUUGGAAUUUGGAUUGUGAUUUGGAGUUGCAGUUCACAAUGGAGUUUAUUUAUGUUUACAAAUUUUCAAGUAUAUUAUCUGAUAUUAUAAAAGAGUGAGAACUAGACUAUUUUUUUGAUUUAUUAAGUUUCAUUUAGAAAUAGAGAUCAUUCCAUUCUAUAACUAAUAAAAUGCCCGGAGGAACGACUUGUGCUGUUGCUAUAUGUAAAAAUAACUCAAAAAUAGUUAAGCAAAGUGGAGAACCUAUUAGAUUUUUUUCCUUUCCUAAGGAUCCCAACAUACGCACAGAGUGGAUCAGGAAAUGUUUUAGAAAACAUGAAUUUUCAGUGGACCAUGCACGUAUUUGUAGUAAACAUUUUAAGUCCGAUGACUUUGAAGACUCACUGCAUGCUAAAUUACUCAAUUUUUAUCCAAAAAAGCUAAAUAAAAAUGCAAUUCCUUCACUGUUACUAUGUAAUUCCGGAAUGGUUCACACACAAAAAGAUUCUGAGGAUAGCAUUGAAAUGGCGUUGAAAAAUGAAAUAAAAAAUGAGAGCUUAUCCAUAGAUGAUGAUGAGAGUCUUGCAGAAGAAGCAAUUAAAAUAUUUUUCUUAGAAGAAGAAUUGUGACCCAACCUGAUGUUCUUGUAGAAGUAUCUGUUGAAGAGAAUCUGCAAGCAAUGAUAAGGGCUUUGCAAGAGGAAAUUACUGCCUUAAAAAAUCAAAAUGUGUCGAUUUAGAAAACGAAGUCUUACAAAGUGAGCAACAGUUAAAUAAAAUGAAUAGUUCUUUUGAAGAAAGUGCACAAGCUUUAUUUAAAGAUGUGUUAACAUCAAAUCAGAUAGAUAUAAUCUUGAAAAAUCAAAAGCUCGAUGGAACAAUGAGGAACUUGCUAGAGCUUUUACUUUAAGAUAUUUGGGGAAAAAGAGUUACAUCUUUCUAAGGGAGUCAAAUUAUCCCCUUCCUGGACUAUCAACUUUACAAAAACGGGCAGCCAGCAUUAAGAGACGAAAGUAUGCUGUUUUAAAACAAACGUCUCAGAAAAAUUCAGAAUUCAUCUCGGAAAAGGCAGAAAGUUUUAUGUGUAAAUAAUCAAGGCGACAUAGGCGAAAACGGAUUUAUGAGUAUUUGCAAUAUGAGAAAAACGGUUGUCAAAUUAAAAAACGCCAUUAUCUGUAACGGAUGUUGCCCGUUUUGUGGCUUUAAUUGGGGAUGGCCGAAGUCAACUUUAUGUCUCCAAUACCUUGGAUAUAUUUCGAACAACAGUCCAGGAUACCUGGAAUCGGUAUAUGGAAACGAGAAAUUUCACCAGGCGAGUAGACACUAGAUAUUAGUCCCUUAAAAUUUCUUUACUUUUUUUUUAA
rnacentral:misc_RNA from 1 species